rnacentral:tRNA from 1 species
GCCCCGGUGGUGGAACUGGUAGACACGCGGGACUUAAAAUCCCGUGGCCAUUGCGGCCGUGCGGGUUCGAUUCCCGCCUGGGGCA